CCGCCAUGUUUUAAACGUUGCUAAACAGUUUCUUGUACUUGGUGUUCGCUCUCUGGAAGUGUCUCCGAGCCGAGGUCUGGAAGAGGACUUGCGUCUCACAGGGAAGGAAGAGGAAGAUAAGGAAAACGUCACCACGUGUAAAGGCCCCACGAAACGGCGCUUCAGAAUCAACCGACUGUUUAUUGAAUCCACCCCUGCAUUAUCGUCGAUUUCUCCCGUUCUUUUUCUCUCUUCUUCCUCUCCAUCCUCUCUCUUCUUAUACGUCUUCUGCUCCUUCUUCGUCUUCUCGUAUUUAUUUUCUUCUCUUUCUUUUCGGUUUCUCUUGAUUCUCUCCUUGAUUUUUUUUUCUCUUUCCCUUUCACCUUGCGAGGAAUUUCAAAGGAGAGAGACACUAAUUCACUCCGGCGCUUCAAUUCUCCACUCUUCUUGCACAGUUGCACGCGUAUUUGCAACUGACCUGUGCAACGACGAACACAGAAAAUCACCCUGUUAUUGAAGAACACCAAUUAGUAACUUCCUCUUUAAUUAAGGGAAGAACAUGAAGAACAUUGCUUUUCCACACACAGUUUCUUAUUAAGUCUUUCUUACGAACAAAAGAUACAUUCCAAGACUUAAUUAAUAACAGGAAGAGAGGAAACAAGGAGAAGGAGAAGGAAGAGAGGAAAAGAAGGAAAGGAUACAGCAAAAUAUCAAAGGAAAAUAUCAUGAAUAUAUGAAUAACGUUGCAAUUUAGAAAAGACGUUUGCAAAAAUAAUUUUUUUCUGCCGGAUCGUGCAACAUGGGAAGAGCGUCUGCAAUCUCUCUCCUUCUGGUAGCACUUGCACUGGUCUACCCUGCCUCGACGAAGCAGAGGGCGCGGCGACCCCUCCGGAGCAGCGUCCCCGAAG